AUGCUGCGCCGUCGCCAUUUUCUUUGCAAGAGCCUCCGCCAAGCUCGUCGCCGGCCUUCGCGCUCUCGUCCGCGGCCGGAUCUGAGGAGCCCGGCCCUCGGUGUGCCCGUUUCCCCUUGCUCCACCCUCGCUGCGGUCCCGCCCCGCGCUCGCCGGAGAACCGUGCCGCCGUCCCGCGCCGUCAACUCAUCCCGCGUCGGGAGGACAGCGUCCUCGCCUCCCUGGGCCUCCUCCUGUGUGGGCCUCGUGGGCCGCACUCCUCCCGCGUGGGCCCUGGCCACCCCGCGGCCUAGCCCAGCAUCGGCCUGCCUUCCAGCCUCCUCUCCGCCAACGGGCCGUGGCCCAUGGUUGCAGGUACAGGUUAUGCGAUGA
rnacentral:rRNA from 1 species